CUGUAUGAUUUUAAAAUUUAAGAUAUGAUUAUAUUACUGGGUGCAUGUUUAUUAUUUAUGUGAUUAUGUUCACCUUGGUAACGGAGACUAAGGAAAAACAGAUAAGGUGACAGCCUCACUAGAUAUCCUGGGAGAUGAUGGACGGACCAGGUUCAUAGGGAAUCCUACCGUGAACGUUGUCUCAUACCGGACGGGGUAUGGAGACU
rnacentral:lncRNA from 1 species